rnacentral:rRNA from 1 species
UACGGAGGGGGCAAGCGUUGUUCGGAAUCAUUGGGCGUAAAGGGCGCGUAGGCGGCCGCUCAAGUCGGAUGUGAAAUCCCUCGGCUUAACCGAGGAACUGCAUUCGAUACUGGGUGGCUAGAGUCCGGGAAGGGGUAGUGGAAUUCCCAGUGUAGCGGUGAAAUGCGUAGAUAUUGGGAAGAACACCGGUGGCGAAGGCGGCUACCUGGACCGGUACUGACGCUGAGGCGCGAAAGCCAGGGGAGCGAAUGGG